rnacentral:rRNA from 1 species
CUGAACCAGCCAAGUAGCGUGAAGGAUGACUGCCCUAUGGGUUGUAAACUUCUUUUAUAAAGGAAUAAAGUCGGGUAUGCAUACCCGUUUGCAUGUACUUUAUGAAUAAGGAUCGGCUAACUCCGUGCCAGCAGCCGCGGUAAUACGGAGGAUCCGAGCGUUAUCCGGAUUUGUUGGGUUUGAAGGGAGCGUAGAUGGAUGUUUAAGUCAGUUGUGAAAGUUUGCGG